CUUCUACUUUCACAGGACUGAGUCUGCCGCCUUCGAUUAUUUUUUCCAUCAUACUUAUUUCUGUGAGUACUGUGAUACAAUGAGUGCUUGUACACUUGUUGAACACUAUUAUCUGUACAAGUAUUAUCAAUAGCCUACAAAUGGCAUAAACUAUGACUUGUAAAUACCAUCCGUGAUUUGUUCUCAUGGCUCCAUGGAAACCUUUUUAAUACUAAAAGGGUUUUAGAGGCACAGGGAGACAGUUUUAAAAAGCUAGCCCUUCAAACUGUGGUCUCCACCUGAGCUAUUGUUCCUCUCUGUCUUAGCUUUCAUGUAGCCUCAAGGAAUGAAUUACAUUGCUAAUGACAACCCUGUCUUUGCUCCCUAUCUCUCCCCUGCUCACUUUGUUCAUGUCUGCCUCAACGUCUGGCCCUGUCUUUCUUUUGAUGUCCUUUUACCCGCCUCAUGAGAUUUUCUCCGAUUGAUGGUCACUCCAGGGCUUUACUCACUGUUUAGCACUUUGCAACCUCUCCUCCAUUCAUAAUCAACCAAAUCUUCAAAUUCACGAUGAGGCAUUGCAGCCAUGACACUUCAGGGUAAUUUCUACUGAAACUGGGUGAUUUUUUUUAAGUUUUGUUUCUGGACUUCUUUUACCAUGUCAGUUUCCAGAAACAGAUAAAACUUAUACUAUGAUGUCUUGUAGCCAAGUGAUAAAGAUAUUCUCCCCUAUAGCCCAUGUGGG
rnacentral:lncRNA from 1 species